AUGCAUAUCGAGAAAAACAUUUGUGAAAACCUCAUUGGGACAAUUCUCAACAUGGAAGGGAAGACGAAGGACACACUUAAUGCUAGGCUUGAUCUCCAAGAUUUGAAUAUUAAAGAGGAGUUGCAUUUGAGGAAGGAUGGAAACUCAUAUGAGGUUCCUCGGGCCCGGUAUACCUUGUCUAAAGAACAAGUAGUUGCAUUUUGUCAAUUUUUACGGGAGUUAAAGUUUCCAGAUGGGUUUGCUUCCAACAUAUCCAGAUGUACAAGUGCUGAUGGAACCAAGGUCCAAGGCCUAAAAACACAUGAUUGUCACAUUCUUUUGCAAAGAAUCUUACCAACUGGCAUGAGAGGAUUUCUGGAUAGUGAUAUAUAUGAAGCAAUAGCUGAGUUGGGCAAGUUUUUCAGGGAACUGUGCAGCAAAACUCUUAACAGGGAUGUGUUGGCUGAAAUGAAGAAAGAAAUCCCUGUAAUUUUGUGCAAGCUUGAGAAAAUUUUCCCUCCUGCUUUCUUUGAUGUGAUGGUGCACCUUGCCGUACAUUUACCCAAAGAGGCAUUACUCCGAGGUCUCGUAUAA
rnacentral:rRNA from 1 species